rnacentral:rRNA from 15 species
GUCUACGGCCAUACCUAGGCGAAAACACCAGUUCCCGUCCGAUCACUGCAGUUAAGCGUCUGAGGGCCUCGUUAGUACUAUGGUUGGAGACAACAUGGGAAUCCGGGGUGCUGUAGGCU